GAUGAACGCUGGCGGCGUGCCUAAUACAUGCAAGUCGAGCGAAUGGAUUAAGAACUUGCUCUUAUGAAGUUAGCGGCGGACGGGUGAGUAACACGUGGGUAACCUGCCCAUAAGACUGGGAUAACUCCGGGAAACCGGGGCUAAUACCGGAUAACAUUUUGAACCGCAUGGUUCGAAAUUGAAAGGCGGCUUCGGCUGUCACUUAUGGAUGGACCCGCGUCGCAUUAGCUAGUUGGUGAGGUAACGGCUCACCAAGGCAACGAUGCGUAGCCGACCGGAGAGGGUGAUCGGCCACACUGGGACUGAGACACGGCCCAGACUCCUACGGGAGGCAGCAGUAGGGAAUCUUCCGCAAUGGACGAAAGUCUGACGGAGCAACGCCGCGUGAGUGAUGAAGGCUUUCGGGUCGUAAAACUCUGUUGUUAGGGAAGAACAAGUGCUAGUUGAAUAAGCUGACACCUUGACGGUACCUAACCAGAAAGCCACGGCUAACUACGUGCCAGCCGCCGCCGUAA
rnacentral:rRNA from 1 species